rnacentral:rRNA from 1 species
UAUCUCUGUAGAGUCUGCAUAUCAAUAAGCGGAGGAAAAGAAACUAACAAGGAUUCCCCUAGUAACGGCGAGUGAAGCGGGAAGAGCUCAAAUUUGAAGUCUUAAAGGGUUUCCCUUUACGAAUUGUAGUUUAAAGAAGUGUUUUCUGUUGAGGUUUUGGUAAAAGUUCUUUGGAAUAGGACAUCAUAGAGGGUGAGAAUCCCGUAUUUGACCUUUACUUUCAACUUUGUGAUACACUUUCAAAGAGUCGGAUUGUUUGGGAAUGCAGUCCAAAAUGGGUGGUAAAUUUCAUCUAAAGCUAAAUAUUGGCGAGAGACCGAUAGCGAACAAGUACCGUGAGGGAAAGAUGAAAAGAACUUUGAAAAGAGAGUUAAACAGUACGUGAAAUUGUCAAAAGGGAAGCGUUUGACACCAGUGUUGUUUUUCUGAAAAUCAAUUAAAGAACUGUUUAUGCUAAGCUGUUUAGACUUUAUCAGCUAUCUGUUUAGUUUUGAGCUUUUCUUUAAUGCACUUUUCAGUUAACAAGUCAACAUCAAUUUCUUUUGCUGUAAAAAAGCUUGAGGAAGGUGGCUUGCGCUUCGCUCUAAGUGUUUAUAGCCUUUUAGCUCUGCAGUCGGAGAGAUUGAGGUCUGCAGCGUAGAUCCUUCGGGGUUAAAUAGCAUUUGUGCUAAGCUAUAGCCUUGUAUAGACAACUUGUUGACUAUGCUCUAGUCAUGUAGCUUACUCGCUGAUGCUAUUUUACCUACGCUUAGGAUGUUGACGAUCAGCUGAGCGCG